rnacentral:rRNA from 1 species
CCGCAUAAGCGCACGGUACCGCAUGGUACAGUGUGAAAAACUCCGGUGGUGUGAGAUGGAUCCGCGUCUGAUUAGGUAGUUGGUGAGGUAACGGCCCACCAAGCCGACGAUCAGUAGCCGACCUGAGAGGGUGACCGGCCACAUUGGGACUGAGACACGGCCCAAACUCCUACGGGAGGCAGCAGUGGGGAAUAUUGCACAAUGGGCGAAAGCCUGAUGCAGCAACGCCGCGUGAGUGAAGAAGUAUCUCGGUAUGUAAAGCUCUAUCAGCAGGGAAGAAAAUGACGGUACCUGACUAAGAAGCCCCGGCUAACUACGUGCCAGCAGCCGCGGUAAUACGUAGGGGGCAAGCGUUAUCCGGAUUUACUGGGUGUAAAGGGAGCGCAGACGGCACUGCAAGUCUGAAGUGAAAGCCCGGGGCUCAACCCUGGGACUGCUUUGGAAACUGUAGAGCUAGAGUGCUGGAGAGGCAAGCGGAAUUCCUAGUGUAGCGGUGAAAUGCGUAGAUAUUAGGAAGAACACCAGUGGCGAAGGCGGCUUGCUGGACAGUAACUGACGUUCAGGCUCGAAAGUGUGGGGAGCAAACAGGAUUAGAUACCCUGGUAGUCCACGCCGU